rnacentral:lncRNA from 1 species
AACUAAGCAAGGAGUGAGAGCUCUGUUGUUCUGUUGAUGGCGCUCAGUCUGUUCUUCCUCUUUUCCAACAAUCACACUUAUUUCCAGGAAAGAGAAAGCUCUACAUGGAUCCCUUGCAUGGGUGUUGUACAAUGGGAGCUUUCAUUCCUGCUUUGGCACCUGCAACCCUGGGUUAACAGUACCAUGGAGCGGAGAAAGCGUUUACCAAAGAGUGUGGUGCCGCGAUCCCACCCCGUGCAGCAGUUGAGCAGAGGUCAUCUUUAAGUAAAAGCCAUCUGAUAUUUUACUGCAAGCAUGUGGCGGUGAAGAAGACAAUGACUGCUAGUAUGGUUUGUGCCACUGCCUUGAUUUCCGCUCAGGCACCAGCAGUCUUACCCACCAUUGCUUUGGUGCAGUUGGUGGAGAUAUCAACAGAUCAAAAGCACAAGUAAUAUGAGAGGCCAGGAAUCAACCAAAAGAGCAAGAAAAGAAGCCACUACAGUAAUGAGCUUCGGCUGCCUGCCCCUCUUCCAGCCACAAAGGAAAAAAAAAAUGAGAAAGCUGCCUCUAUUCUACUUCUUUUCAAAGCUGCCCAACUGUUAAUAUUUUAGACUCAGCUCCCUAUGCCCACUAAAUACAAAUUUUCAGAACUGUGAUCACAGCCCUGGCCAAAUAGUGCUCCUGGUCAAACCUUUGUAGGUAAAAUGUUUUCUCCAGCUU